UCAUACAAGAAACCCAAAUCAAUAGUCACCCGGCGUAAAGAGUGGCCAUAUGUUAUCUUCACCAACUAAGAUCGAAGUGUAACUAAGCUGUCAUAAGCCCAAGACCCACUUAAGCCCAACCUAAAACCAUCUUAGCCCCAUGACUAAUUUAAACCCACGAAAGCCAGGACACAAACUGGGAUUAGAUACCCCACUAUGCCUGGCCCUAAAUCUAGAUACUCACACACCCAUGUAUCCGCCUGAGAACUACGAGCACAAACGCUUAAAACUCUAAGGACUUGGCGGUGCCCCAAACCCACCUAGAGGAGCCUGUUCUAUAAUCGAUAAUCCACGAUCUACCUAACCACCCCUUGCCAAUAUCAGCCUACAUACCGCCGUCGCCAGCCCACCUAAAAUGAAAGAUUAACAGUGGGCUCAAUAGCCCCCGCUAAUAAGACAGGUCAAGGUAUAGCCUAUGAGGUGGAAGAAAUGGGCUACAUUUUCUAGCAAUAGAACAAACGAAAAAGGACGUGAAAUCCGCCCUUGGAAGGAGGAUUUAGCAGUAAAGCAGGACCAUACCUUCUUAAGCCUACUUUAAGAUGGCCCUGGGGCACGUACAUCCGCCCGUCACCCUCUUCACAAGCAACCAAUAUCAAUAAAUAAUACCCCACCCCNNNNNAAAGACGAGGUAAGUNGUAACAA
rnacentral:rRNA from 1 species